UCUCCUGAGGUCCCUUCCAACCCUAAUAUUCUAUGAUUCUAUGAUAAAGGAAUGUUGCAUAUUCAUUAGGCAGACUGCAUGUUCAGGAGUUGAAAAUGUCACCUAAGCCAAUCCCAAAAUCAUGGAGUCAAAAAAUUAACCAGAAUCUAAAACAAUUAUAAAAGAGGUUUGUUUUCCUAUAAUUUCACAAAAAUAAGAAGGGAUAAAAGACUCUGAAAUAAACACCUCGUGCUCACACACUCCCAGUACUCAUGGAGAAAGCACGCCCUAACUCAUCCUGUCCAUCUCCACAAGCAAGCUGCCACAGACAGAUAAGAAAAACAGAAAAGACUCCAGAAGAAACAACCCAAAGCAACCUCUCCACGACUUCAACAUGGAUCGGUUUCCAGGUCGGGAUAGGGGUGCGCAUCUUGGGGGGCUGUACGUCAUUCAAAGCUGGUAGAGCAUCUGCAUGCAAUGGAAUUGCUUUAACAGAAGGCUCGAGCCCACGCUUCCGAGGUCAGAAUGGAGCCCUAACUCUCUACCCCGAAGUUGGAUGCUGAAGAAAGAUGGAACCAUUCAGAUAUAGUCAGCAGCCUCAGCCAAUGCUGUGCAAAGAGGCAGAUUCUCAAAGGCUGGUUUGCUGUCAAAUAAUGAGAGCCUUUAUUGGAGGGAAGAGCCCAACCGGCACAGCCUUGGGGAAACAUCAUUUAUGCGGGGAAGAGCACAGACAGAGCAACAACCUGGCAGGUCUUUCCUGUAUCCUGUAGCUGCAGACUAGGCUGUGAAGCAUAUGACACUCACAUCUGACGGGUGUCAAUAAUUGCACAAGGUGCAAGGUAGUGGAAAAUCAGCCCCACAGAGUGACCUACAUAUUUCAAAGAAGAAUGCAUUAACUGUGCCCCAUCUAUGCUGUGCACUGAAUGCGUCAGGGCGCUGGCGGAAAAAUUAGUAUGGAAUCGUGUAAUUAAAGACUGUAUCACAACCCAUCCACAUAAGGGAGCCAAAUUAAGGUUGAACUGGCAGGAUCAAGCACAGUAGCCAACAUUUUCAAAAAUGACUGCUAUUUUUGGGUGCUUGGCUUGAGGUACCAUAGGAGCUGCCACCCAAAAUACGGGUCAUGCUGGGCCAGUCAGAAACUGAGCUACGUGGGCAGAAGAGUUUUGCUGAGCAUUGUUUGCUGGAGCUCUGUGUGGGUUCGUGUGCGCAGAUACGAACUGGAAACACCACCGGAGACAAAGCAGGCAGCAAGAAAGCACCAGGCACAGCCACAGAAGCACUGGUAGUGUGACUCUGAGAAAAGCUGAGAGAGAGAGAGAGCUUUUGGGUGAAGUGCUGACCGGAAAGAGGCUUGGAUCUUUGAACUAAGAAACUGUCUUUCGCUGUUUGAUUCCUAUUGUGAUUAGGGAAAAAGGGCUUUAUGAACAUUCUUUGUAAAUAAGCACAUUUGCACCAAAGAAAUACCUGACUCCAUCAUCAAUUUCUCCUCCUAAUGGGAAUAACCCGCAAGACCUCCAAAAAUGGCUAACUGCUCAGGUCAAAGGAUGUAACAGUAAUAUUAUUAUUAUCACCAUGGACAGGUGCCAAAUUGAGGUGUUUUGAAGUAAAUGCAGAUUUGAUUAACUAGCCAGACACCAGAAAUUAACCCCUGACUGCUGCUUCUCUUUAGCUUUUAAACAUCUAUGCUGCAAUAAAGAAUAUGAGCCAGCACUGGCAGGCAUAUUGGUCCAGGUACUUGGUGUGCAAGGCAACAUUCACCAAGCUGACAAAAAGAAAAAAGAGUCACAGAAGAAAUCAACCCAUGGCCAUUAGUGCCUUUCAUAGAAUCAAAGAAUCAUAGAAUAACAGAGUUGGAAGGGACCUCUGGAGGUCAUCUAGUCCAACCCCCUGCCCAGAGCAGGACCAAUCCCAACAGCAGGACCAAUCCCAACUUGAUUGCCUGUCUGAAACAGCUGUCCAUGCUAGCAAUACAAAUCUAUUUCUUUAACCCAUUCUAAUCACAGCAUAGGCACUAUUUGCCCGCUAGGUGAAACUGAAUCUUUCCACUGAGAAGCUGGCUAAAUCACAAACCAAGACUGGCUUGGAUUUGCAGCAUGUAGGGCAGGGGUUCUAAAACUUCGUGGCACCGCGGCCCUCUUUGACAACAAAAAUUACUUCACAACCCCAGGAGUGGGGACCGAAGUCUGAAUCCAUCUAAGCCCCACUGCCCCGGUGGGGGAGGGGGGAUCAAAGCCUGAACCCCACUGCUCUGGGCAAGGGGGCAAAAGCUGAAAUGCAAGGGCUUCAGACCCAGGCAGGGGGCCUGCAACCUGAGCCCUGCUGCCCAGGGCUGAAGUCCUCGGCCUUUGGCUUCGGCCCUGGGCAGUGGGGCUCGGGCUUCAGCUCCGGAACCCAGCAAGUUUAAGCCAGCCCUGGCGACCCAUUCAAAGGGGGUUGCGACCCACUUUGGGGCCCCACCCACAGUUUGAGAACUGCUAAUCUAGCGUAUUUUCCGCUUGAAUAGGUUUCCUCAAAUGCAAGUGACAAUGAUAGACAAGGGGGGUGAGGUAAUAUCUUUUAUUGGACCAACACACAAAGUGGUGCGGAUUUAAUGAAAGGUGUGAUUUUGCACCAAUUUAGUUGAAUAGGUGCAACUUUCUGUGUGAACGCUCCUGUAUCAGUUUAAGCUUCAUGUGUAGCAGUUUAACUUGCGCUGGCAAAUUUACAAGUGCAAGCAGAUCGAGGGAUGUGAUCGUUCCCCUCUAUUCGACAUUGGUGAGGCCUCAUCUGGAGUACUGUGUCCAGUUUUGGGCCCCCCACUACAAGAAGGAUGUGGAAAAAUUGGAAAACGUCCA